CAGUCGCCGCGGGAAAACGGAGGGUGCAAGCGUUAUCCGGAUUUAUUGGGUUUAAAGGGUCCGUAGGCGGAUCUGUAAGUCAGUGGUGAAAUCUCACAGCUUAACUGUGAAACUGCCAUUGAUACUGCAGGUCUUGAGUAAAUUUGAAGUGGCUGGAAUAAGUAGUGUAGCGGUGAAAUGCAUAGAUAUUACUUAGAACACCAAUUGCGAAGGCAGGUCACUAAGAUUUAACUGACGCUGAUGGACGAAAGCGUGGGGAGCGAACAGGAUUAGAUACCCCCGUAGUGCCUGUCUCUUAUAA
rnacentral:rRNA from 1 species